CUCUUGGAGAAAGCCAGCUGAUGUGGAGAUUGGCUUCCAUGUUGAAGGUUGGUGCACCCUGGCCUCUCUGCUGUUGAAGUGAGACUCUUUAGACAGUGGGUGGAACAAGAGGUUUACAUGAAGCAUCUUCAGGAAGGCAUGAGGAUGGAUGCAUGCCACCAGCUUGUCCUCAGUUCUGCCCAUCGUGAAUGCUGGAAACAGAAGCAGUGUUUUGCAAACAGUAGUCUGUCUCUACCUACCUGGAUGAUAAGAAGUCUGGGCUUGAACCUCUGCAGCUGGACCCAGCAAGCACUGCACGGGGGGUGGGGGGGGGGGGGUAGGGAAACUGGUGCUCCUGGGAAAUAAAGGAGACUGAGCCCAAAGGACC
rnacentral:lncRNA from 1 species